AGAAUCAACGCUGGCGGCGCGCCUAACACAUGCAAGUCGAACGAGAAAGUGGAGCGAAUCCAUGAGUACAGUGGGCGUACGGGUGAGUAACACGUGGGUAAUCUACCCUUUGGUGGGGGAAUAACUCCUGGGAAACUAGAGCUAAUACCGCAUAAUCCCGAGAGGGAAAAGCGAGCAAUGCGCCGAAGGAGGAGGCCCGCGGCCGAUUAGCUAGUUGGUAGGGUAAUGGCCGUACCAAGGCUGAGAUCGGUA
rnacentral:rRNA from 1 species